AAUAGUAAUUUUUUCUUCUUUUUCCUUGGUUAGUCUGACUAGAGAUUUAUCAAUUUUAUUGAUUUCUUCAAAGAGCCAAGUUUGAAUUUCAUUGAGUUUUCGGUUUUCUUCCUGUUUACUAUUUCAUUGAUUUCUGCUUGUAUCUUCAUUAUUCCUCUCUUUCUCUUGCUUUGUGCUUAAUUUGCCUUUCUUUCUCUGUUUUUUGUUUUUUUAGUUGGAAGCUGAAUUCAUUGAUUCGAAACCCUUCUUAUUUUCUAAUAUAAACACUCAUCUCUAAAUUUCCCUCCAGCCCUGCUGGAGAGAGAGAGUUCCAUGGCCUCCCCCAGUGACAGCACAGGCGCUUUGUAUUAGCACAGAGCAGGAUUCUCUGCUCAAUCAGGUUGCCAGCCCUACCUCCAGGGGCUGUGAACUCCUGCUCCACUGCUCUCUCAGUAGUAGGAGGGAAUUGUUUUUGUUUUCCAGGCUCUUUGGAGUGGGCAAAUGCAUAUUCCCGUGGCCUACAUCAGUUCAGGCAAAUUUUCCCUCUCAGCUUCCCGUCAGCAGCAAGUUCUCCUCCCCUCAAACAGGAGCGAGGAUGUUACCUUUCACUCCUCCGUCUGAGUGUGUAGAUCUUUUCUUGAACCCUCAGGGUGAGGCUGUUUCCUGCCUCUGUCUACACAGCUGAAGGCUUUUGCUUCCUGAGAGCAGAUUCCAGGAAGUGGGCGGUGUUUCAGGCUGGCGGGGAUAAAAGGACUCCUGAGCGCAGUAGCUCUGCGCCUGGAAGCAUAGGGUUUAGAGGCAGCGGAAAGUGAUUUGAGGGAGUGCAGGCUCCGCUUUUGUCUGGGGCUCCCACGGAUUCUAAAGUGUCACACACUCCGGUUAUUAUGGAUUUGUGAAAGUGUUACUGUUCUUCUUAGUCCUGUGUGGUGGCCGCCUCUUCCCGUGCUCUGUAAAAGAUAGAGAAUGAACACUUCUAAGGGGCUACCAUGCAGUGAAAAAGAUCACUGGAUUGGAAAUCAAGAGUUGGAUGCUAAUUCCUCUCUACCACUGAAUUACUUUGUGACACAGGCACAGUGUCUGAUAUAUAGUACAUCUUCAUUGAUGCAUAUUGAACAAAGUGACUGGAGGCACUACAAGACUAUUCUACUGGAUUCUCCAAGCCCACCAGACUCCUACCAUCACCCAUUACUUUGGCUUAAUUGAAGAUGCAUUAACUACUAUGGAAAUGGUCUAUCACUGACUCACUACUCAAAGCGAACUACUGAAUUAGUAAAGUAAAAAGGACAUUGCUGCUGGUAUAAAACCUUGCGCACAAAUAUGAUUUCCUCCUCGCUCAGACUAGACAUGUUAACAGUGCUAGGAAGUAGUAGGACUUGGAGGAAAUAAAAUCUAGUUAGAGGAAAUGUGAUGUUUAGAUACUUUCUCUGUUGCUUCCUUUUACUAAGCCAGGCAAAAGUGGGAUGAGGAAACAGGGGCUUCUUAAUGGAGAGCGAAACUCGUGUGCUCUGUUCUCCACCUAUAGAGCUGACUCAGAAUUGCAUCCUAAAGGAAUGUAGGGCACCAGAAGCAGUCUUGUAAUUUUUCUGUGUUCGCUGUGAAUUUAGAAGAAAAGUUAAUGUUCUCGUAAAUCCAGAGCAGUCACAGAGGUGAGCUGAAGAUGGGAUCUGCUCAGCAGAGCAAGGAGACAUGCAAGAGAUGGAUGCUAAGGAUACAUUUAUAUAUUUAUAUGGACUUCCUAUACUAGCUUCUUGACACAACUGACUUUGGGACUGCUCCAUCUAGAGAUUGGAAACUGGACCAGGAAAGGAGUAAAGAAAAUACCUCCAAGUAGAAGACAUUUGAAUCUUGGAAGAAGUCACUUGAUUAAUGAACUUUAUAUUGAAUCUAGAAUUUAUUUAAUUGGACUGAAUGCCUGAUAUGACCUAGAUUAUAUGUUGGGAACCAAGGUGAAAUGGGGGGCUUUUGAAUACAUGCUGCAUGACUGACUCUUGAGAAUUUACUUGUCAAUUGUAAUAUUAAGAUUUUGUCAAUGUUACAACCCAGCUAGCUCUGACAUGGGGCAGUUAUCAUCAGGUAAUUUUAGAGAAACCUGAGUCAUUAUUCAGUAAUUCAUUUUUUUAAAGUUCUUAGAUUUGAAAACAGCAGGUAAUUUAGAAUUCUCCAGUGCUCACAUGCAUAUACAUUAUCUCAGCCUUUUAAGGUAUUAUCAUAUAGUUGAUACUGCACUUUCAGGGGAAACUUUUAUGACUUCAAAUAAUGUUACAUUGAAUGUUUUAGAUUGAGGGGAGACCUGCUUAUCAACCUACACAUAAUUCUGUUACUAUCAAAAAUAUUUGAGGCUGAAAAAAUCUUUUAAAUCAGAAAAUUGGUGCUUAGGUUACACACAAGUUAAAAUAAUGUAAAAAUGAGAAUGCUUGGUCAACUGCUGUCUUCAACCAGUUCUUUCUAUUGAAGCAAUGUGGAAAUAAUAAAAUGCACAUUAAAAGUAUGCAAAGAGCUCCUUAAAGAUUUUAUUUCAUUUUGAUUAUCAAACUUAGAAGUCUACUCUCAAGCCUUUUGAAGCCUAUAAGUGAAGAUUAAAUCAUUCUCACAUGCUAUCUACAGGUGUGCCAUAGUGAAUUAUUAUCCUCACAUAAUCCGUGGAAUGAAAAAGCUAUAGUAAGAAACAAACUGUUAAUCAGUGCAUUGGCACAGAAGAUCAAUCUUUGAUUCUUAUAUUCACAAACUCUGUUUAUUUGGUCACAUUAGAGAACAGGCUUGAGUGUUGGAAUGGAUUCCUAGAAGUGAUGGAUGUAAUUGUCAAAACUGCCAAGGUCAAUGUAUAAUGUUCAUAAAAGAACCAACCCAAUUCAAGCACCUUCCAUUUAUCAUUCAUGCAAUUUGACCCCCGGUUCUCUUUAUAAUAACAUACAAAGGAGGAACAACUGCUGUGUUCAUUUCAAUGGAAUCUUGUGCACUUUUCACUAUCAUUCAGAUCACAGCUUUUCUCAGACUGGGAUCAUUUGUACAUGACUUUCCCUUCUCUGAGGAUGUUGGAACUAAUAGCUGAAGUAUGGGUUUAAUAAAGAAAAAACUGAUUAAUGAA